rnacentral:lncRNA from 1 species
UCAAGAAAAAGACAUAAAAUUACCUUUAAAAAUUCCCAAGUCGCACCAAUCACCUUAGAAUAUCAGUACGAAUAAAAUAUCAAAAUAUCACAUAUUUUCGUUACUGCCCGAAAAAUAUCAAAAAUUUUAAUUCGUAAACGUUUGAAAAAUAUAAGAAUAAAGAAAAAUACAUAAAAACACCUCAAAAAAUUCCUGAAUCC